GAGUCCCAACAUUCCUCAAUACUGUAUCCACACAUCACUGCACCACAGCGAUGAAUACGCUGUCUGUGUAUUAGUAUUAACUGCAAACCAUGGCAAAGUAACAAAACACUACUUAUUUAACUUGAGUCUAUAUUUUAUUUCUGCACCCAAUCCAGUUAUGAUGGAUUUUAACUAUGCUCUUUUGUGCCCAGAAAUCAAACAGGAUUGAUGUCUGUGAUCCAUACAAACUUCCAGGUCACGGAAAGGGGAUGUGUAGGGCCUACGGGUCACGGAAAGGGGAGGUGUAGGGCCUACGGGUCACAGAAUGGGGAGGUGUAGGGCCUACGGGUCACGGAAAGGGGAUGUGUAGGGCCUACGGGUCACGGAAUGGGGAGGUGUAGGGCCUACGGGUCACGGAAAGGGGAUGUGUAGGGCCUACGGGUCACGGAAAGGGGAUGUGUAGGGCCUACGGGUCACGGAAAGGGGAUGUGUAGGGCCUACGGGUCACGGAAAGGGGAUGUGUAGGGCCUACGGGUCACGGAAAGGGGAGGUGUAGGGCCUACGGGUCACAGAAAGGGGAGGUGUAGGGCCUACGGGUCACAGAAUGGGGAGGUGUAGGGCCUACGGGUCACGGAAAGGGGAUGUGUAGGGCCUACGGGUCACGGAAAGGGGAUGUGUAGGGCCUACGGGUCACGGAAAGGGGAUGUGUAGGGCCUACGGGUCACAGAAAGGGGAGGUAUAGGGCCUACGGGUCACAGAAAGGGGAGGUAUAGGGCCUACGGGUCACAGAAUGGGGAGGUGUAGGGCCUACGGGUCACAGAAUGGGGAGGUGUAGGGCCUACGGGUCACAGAAUGGGGAGGUGUAGGGCCUACGGGUCACAGAAUGGGGAGGUGUAGGGCCUACGGGUCACAGAAAGGGGAUGUGUAGGGCCUACGGGUCUUUGAGAUGGAUGUAUAGUGCCAAAAACUGACCAGCAAAGCUGGGGAGGUAAAGGGGU